rnacentral:sRNA from 1 species
AAAUAGCCCCGACAGCAGCGGCAUCCUUUUUGUUUUUUUCUUUAAAAACAAAAAGAUAUAGCGAAUGGCGGGAACUGUA